rnacentral:tRNA from 1 species
GCUGCUGUAGCUCAGGGGUAGAGCACUCCCUUGGUAAGGGAGAGGUCGAGAGUUCCUCGUGCAUUG